UCCUCUCUCUCUCUCUCUCUCUCUCUCUCUCUCUCUCCCUCCUGUGGAGGACAAAAGAAAUGGCGAAAAGGAAAAGAGAAAGAGAAAGGGAAGCGGAGAAAAGCACAGUUUGGAGCGGGAGGGAGGGAGUUCAACGAACCGCCAAUUUAUAGAUCCCGGCCUCAUCCUUUGCCCAUGCAUGCAUGGUUAACGCUGGGGCUAACGGUCACUAACGGAUCGAUUCG
rnacentral:lncRNA from 1 species